rnacentral:rRNA from 1 species
GAUGAACGCUAGCGGCAGGCCUAAUACAUGCAAGCUGAACGGUAAAUAUUGUAGCAAUACAAUAUGAGAGUAGCGUAAGGGUGCGUAACACGUAUGCAAUCUGCCCUGUACAGGAGGAUA